UACGGAGGGUGCAAGCGUUAAUCGGAAUUACUGGGCGUAAAGCGAGUGUAGGCGGCUGCAUAAGUCGGAUGUGAAAGCCCCGGGCUUAACCUGGGAAUUGCAUUCGAUACUGUGCAGCUAGAGUCUGAUAGAGGGAAGUGGAAUUCCAGGUGUAGCGGUGAAAUGCGUAGAUAUCUGGAAGAACACCAGUGGCGAAGGCGGCUUCCUGGAUCAAGACUGACGCUGAGGCUCGAAAGCGUGGGGAGCAAACAGG
rnacentral:misc_RNA from 1 species